rfam:Glycine max cultivar Williams 82 chromosome 13, whole genome shotgun sequence.
GAUCAUAUGAUGAGAAAAAAACUGCAACAAUAUGAUUGGAUUCGUUCCAUGAUUCCUAGUAUUUAAGUCUCUGAUGAUU